AUGAACGCUGGCGGCGUGCCUAAUUCAUGCAAGUCGAGCGAACGGACGAGAAGCUUGCUUUUCUGAUGUUAGCGGCGGACGGGUGAGUAACACGUGGAUAACCUACCUAUAAGACUGGGAUAACUUCGGGAAACCGGAGCUAAUACCGGAUAAUAUUUUGAACCGCAUGGUUCAAAAGUGAAAGACGGUCUUGCUGUCACUUAUAGAUGGAUCCGCGCUGCAUUAGCUAGUUGGUAAGGUAACGGCUUACCAAGGCAACGAUGCAUAGCCGACCUGAGAGGGUGAUCGGCCACACUGGAACUGAGACACGGUCCAGACUCCUACGGGAGGCAGCAGUAGGGAAUCUUCCGCAAUGGGCGAAAGCCUGACGGAGCAACGCCGCGUGAGUGAUGAAGGUCUUCGGAUCGUAAAACUCUGUUAUUAGGGAAGAACAUAUGUGUAAGUAACUGUGCACAUCUUGACGGUACCUAAUCAGAAAGCCACGGCUAACUACGUG
rnacentral:rRNA from 1 species